UGAACUUGUGGUACAGACUGCUGCCACGCCGGCUGGCUAGGUUGCUCUAGCCUUCAUCCAGCAGCUGAUGGAAGUAGAAGCAGAUACAGCUAAAAACUGAACUGAACUGGAAUACAGUUGCAGAGGACGACUGAUGAGCAGAGUGAUCCAUACCAGGCCGGUGAAACCUACAGAAACAGCUGACCUGAACAAGAGGGAGCUCUUGACCCCCAGACUGAUCACUGGAAAACCAGCAUGGAACUGAUCCUGACCCAUAAAUUUGGGUGUCAGUGAGAAGGCCUCAGAAAUCUAUGGAGCCUAUUGUAAUAGAUAAGUACUUAUCCCUAGCAUAGGAAUGGACUUUGGGGGCCCAUUUCACAUAGAGGGAUACUCCCUCAGCCUAGACACACAGGGAAGGUCCUAGACCCUAUCCCAAAGGAUAUGACAGACUCUAAAGACCCACCUAUGGAAGGCCUCACUCUCUCUGGGGAGCAGAAAUGGUAUUGAAUAGGUAGGGUGUUAGUGGGGGACAGGGGAGGAGAGGAGGGAGAGGGAACUGGG
rnacentral:lncRNA from 1 species